rnacentral:RNase_P_RNA from 1 species
GGACGGAAGUAAACUCAUCAAUGGAGCCAGGAGCUGAGUGUGUCAUGUCACUCCAACCACUGUCUCUUGGGUAGGUCUGAGACUAGAGCCACCAAGAAUGUCCCUAAUAGGCUCUCUCUCUCUCUGUGCUUCAGAGAGGCAAGAAUAGGGCUCUGCACAAGGGCAGACAAGGCAUGAGAUGCCUGGGACCCUCAGGGGCCCAGCAGAUGCCUCCCUAGCUGGAGCUUAGAACAGACUCACCAUUAGCCAAGUGAGUUCAUAAACAAACAAAGCAGCACAAUGUACGUCU